CCUCUCGGGGUUACAGCCUUGCUGAAUUAUUCACCCUUGUCUUUUGCGUACUUCUUGUUUCCUUGGUGGGUUCGCCCACCACUAGGACAAACAUAAACCUUUUGUAAUUGCAAUCAGCGUCAGUAACAAAUUAAUAAUUACAACUUUCAACAACGGAUCUCUUGGUUCUGGCAUCGAUGAAGAACGCAGCGAAAUGCGAUAAGUAGUGUGAAUUGCAGAAUUCAGUGAAUCAUCGAAUCUUUGAACGCACAUUGCGCCCUUUGGUAUUCCAAAGGGCAUGCCUGUUCGAGCGUCAUUUGUACCCUCAAGCUUUGCUUGGUGUUGGGCGUCUUGUCUCUAGCUUUGCUGGAGACUCGCCUUAAAGUAAUUGGCAGCCGGCCUACUGGUUUCGGAGCGCAGCACAAGUCGCACUCUCUAUCAGCAAAGGUCUAGCAUCCAUUAAGCCUUUUUUUCAACUUUUGACCUCGGAUCAGGUAGGGAUACCCGCUGAACUUAAGCAUAUCAAUA
rnacentral:rRNA from 1 species